rnacentral:tRNA from 1 species
GCGCCCAUAGCUCAAUGGUAGAGCAUCCGUCUUAUACACGGCGUACGGGGGUCCGAUUCCCUCUGGGCGCA